rnacentral:rRNA from 1 species
GUGCAGCAGGCGCGAAACCUUUACAAUGCCUUCACGGGCGAUAAGGGGAUCCUGAGUGCUCUAGCAUUGCUAGAGCUUUUCCAGAGUGUAAAAAGCUCUGGGAAUAAGUGGUGGGUAAGACGGGUGCCAGCCGCCGCGGUAAUACCCGCGCCACAAGUGGUGACCACGUUUAUUGGGUCUAAAGCGUUCGUAGCCGGCUCAAUAAAUUCUCGGUGAAAAUCCUGUGUAAAACAUAGGAAGUGCCGAGAAGACUGUUGAGCGUAGGG